rnacentral:rRNA from 1 species
AGCGAACGCUGGCGGCAGGCCUAACACAUGCAAGUCGAACGAACCUUUCGGGGUUAGUGGCGGACGGGUGAGUAACACGUGGGAACGUGCCUUUAGGUUCGGAAUAACUCAGGGAAACUUGUGCUAAUACCGAAUGUGCCCUUCGGGGGAAAGAUUAAUCGCCUUUAGAGCGGCCCGCGUCUGAUUAGCUAGUUGGUUGAGGUAAUGGCUCACCAAGGCGACGAUCAGUAGCUGGUCUGAGAGGAUGAUCAGCCACAUUGGUACUGAGACACGGCCCAAACUCCUACGGGAGGCAGCAGUGGGGAAUCUUGCGCAAUGGGCGAAAGCCUGACGCAGCCAUGCCGCGUGAAUGAUGAAGGUCUUAGGAUUGUAAAAUUCUUUCACCGGGGACGAUAAUGACGGUACCCGGAGAAGAAGCCCCGGCUAACUUCGUG